UACGUAGGGGGCAAGCGUUGUCCGGAAUCAUUGGGCGUAAAGCGCGUGUAGGCGGUUCGGUAAGUCGGCUGUGAAAGCCCCGGGCUCAACUCGGGAAGUGCACUCGAUACUGCUAAACUUGAGUGUCGGAGAGGUUGGUGGAAUUCUCGGUGUAGAGGUGAAAUUCGUAGAUAUCGAGAGGAACACCGGUGGCGAAGGCGGCCAACUGGACGAACACUGACGCUGGAGACACGAAAGCGUGGGGAGCAAACAGG
rnacentral:rRNA from 1 species